CCGCUUUCGCCUGUGACGAAGCGUGAGUGACGGUACCUGCAGAAAAAGCACCGGCUAACUACGUGCCCAGCAGCCGCGGUAAUACGUAGGGUGCAAGCGUUAUCCGGAAUUAUUGGGCGUAAAGAGCUCGUAGGCGGUUUAGUCGCGUCUGCUGUGAAAACUGGAGGCUCAACCUCCAGCCUGCAGUGGGUACGGGCAGACUAGAGUGCGGUAGGGGAGAUUGGAAUUCCUGGUGUAGCGGUGGAAUGCGCAGAUAUCAGGAGGAACACCGAUGGCGAAGGCAGAUCUCUGGGCCGUAACUGACGCUGAGGAGCGAAAGCAC
rnacentral:rRNA from 1 species